CUCUCGCCCGACAAAUCGCUAUUCGAAGCUCACAAACGGAAAGAUUUCCCUUCGGGGCAUCUCUUUCACAAUCACCACACAGCUUUGGGAGAAAGUCCCCGGACAUUGCCGAGCGUGACUUGUCACGAUCGGUGUUGCGGAAACGCGCCGCCACAGAAGCACAGCGGCUGAUCUCUAUUUUUUGCCCGCCUUGUUCCUUGUCUUUUUUUCUGUUUUCAUUGCCCGGCCUCAUCACACCCAAGUCGACUUUGAUUUCGCUUUUCCCCAUGAGCUGGGUUACUUGUCUGUUUUGCGAGGCUGGAGACCACAUGGACGAAGAUAUGAGUCCGCGCUCUGUGCUGUUCGGGAUGGGCUCGUCUUGGUUCCUCUGAGGUUGGUGGAUCGGGUCGAUGGUGGGGCUGCCGUGGUGGCAGACGUCGUGGCUGGGAACGUCAUGGCGCGGCUGGAGAAUUUUCGUCACGAUACCACAGAUAUGCGAUUGCCCAUCUCUCUCGAAAGAGGGGAUGGAGUUACUCGACGGGGCUUAUUCUCGGUGCGAGG
rnacentral:RNase_MRP_RNA from 2 species